AUGGCGCUGGUGCCCAACCCCAGCGUUCCGGGUAUCCGGAUCUGCCGGCCGAAAAUCAUAUCUGACUACCCUUUGCCCGACGAAGAAUCCAAUUCCAGAUCUUAUCUGCUGAAGAAGAUCGGCUCCUUCUACCGCAAGGCGCGGAGGCGGCUCGACAGCCGCCGCCGCCGCGUGCAGGCGCACGGCCUCUGCGUCGGCCUCCUCGACCCGGUCUCCAACAUCGUCAUCAACAGUAUCACCGACUCCUGCAAAGGUGAGCGCAAACGCGAGGGCGAGGUUGUGCUACAGGAGGACCUGCGGCGCCGUUCGCUUGACGGCCUGGUGGUCUUCCUCACCCGCAUGUUCCCCAACCUCGCGGAGGGCCUGGCCGUGCGCUACCUGCGCGUCGCCAAGGCCGACGUCCUCAUCGCUGCCUGCAUCAUCGUGUCGGACCACGGCAUCAAGGGAUUCGGCAACUCCGAGGCCGAGCCUGCCCUCAUCAACAUGGCCCUCAAGUGCGCCGGGCUGGCCGCUAGGCACCCUGACCCCAAGCGCCUAGUCUACGCCUGGCAAAAGAUCUGCAAUUGCAUGGAAGACGCCCUGGGCCUGCUUGAGAUGAUCCAGGAACCAAGCCGCAUCUCGCAGGUCAUCAGGCAGCUCGCCUUUAUGGUUACCGAGGGACCGCCGGCCAGUGAAUUAGCUGUGCGGCGUGCGUGGAUGCUCGCAGAAGCUUCUGUUCGCCGCCGUCCCCGAAGCUUGCAACAACCGCACACUCACUUGUGCAGCCGGACGCUCCAGGACACAAUCCACGGGUACUAUCUCGAGGCCCUCGCUCGGCUGCCAGCAGGCUCUUGCUUCCACCGCAGCCUGAUCAAGGCUGGCCACUGCUACGGCCCCCUUGACCCCGUCUCCAACAUCAUCAUCAACACCAUCUGGUACCACACCGCGUUCCCACCUUCCAUGAAACUCGAGCUGAAUGCGAUUGGCACGCGGAGCCUCCACCGAGUGGCGAACCGCUCCUUGUACGGUCUGGCCUCCUUCCUAUGCACGCGUUACCAUGGCAUUAAUUUCCAUCAAGCUGUGUGCCUCCUGCUCCAGGCAGAUGGCAACCUGGCGCGCGCUGAUCCCUUCCUUGAUCCUGAUUCCCACCUUCCCUAUGGUCAAGUUCAAUGCCACCCGGACACCGGUCCCAAAGAAGCCUUCCUGGCAGCUGCCACCGCAGCCUGUCACCCCAACCCAGACGCUCAAGUAAAGUUUCUCACUUCGUGUAAGGAGGUGCUGGAGACUGCCUUGUCUUUGCUGCGUCGGGACUCUCACAAGCUCUCCACUCAAGAUGUUCAGCAGCUUGCCAGGUUGCUAUCUCCGGAAUCCCCCUAUGAUCAUGACUCUGAGAUGGCACUUCCUCCACUCCCCCUCAAAUCUUACCCCCUUGUGGACCUAGCGGAUCUGUAUACAGUAGUCUCCAAGGGGGUCAAUAUUUUGUUGAAUAAAUAUGAACAGAUGCCAAAUGGGGAUCCCAGGUACGAGCUUCAUACGAUUUGUGGUGUGAAUGAGCGGGUUGGCGGUCCUGCUCAAUGGCCUCCUCAUGACCGUGGCCGCUUUCACGUCAACUUCCUGGCUACUCCCAAAAGCCCCUGUGGUGGAAAACCAACAUUGUUUUUUGCUGAAAUUCAAAGCGAUGGCACAUAUGAUUCCUUCUGUUGCCCUGUGGCUCUGCCUCUGCCAUGUGCUGCACAAAUUCGGUGUGUUUACUGCGAAGCCAUGGGGACUAGAAUUGUGCAUCCAGUUGCGAUAAACUUCCGUGGCCGUGAUUCGGCGUUUGAGAUGCUGGCCCGCGAAAAAGACCCCUGUCAGCGCGAGGAAGCAACCUUGAGAAUCAUCAGCCAUAGACGUCUCAUGGCGGAGAAUGUUCAUUGCAAGGAGAAAGAAGAUAUCCUCUACGAUGGGGUGGAUGGGCACAGGAAUAAGUUUGAUAAUGUGAGUUCCUUGAAGGUGGAAGAAGCUAUGUUAUUGGCACCACUUUGUCGCUAUCUGUAA
rnacentral:rRNA from 1 species